UACGGGGGGGGGCAAGCGUUGUUCGGAAUUACUGGGCGUAAAGGGCUCGUAGGCGGCCAACUAAGUCGGAUGUGAAAUCCCCCAGGCUCAACCUGGGAACUGCAUCCGAUACUGGAUGGCUUGAAUCCGGGAGAGGGAUGCAGAAUUCCAGGUGUAGCGGUGAAAUGCGUAGAUAUCUGGAGGAAUACCGGUGGCGAAGGCGGCAUCCUGGACCGGCAUUGACGCUGAGGAGCGAAAGCUAGGGGAGCAAACGGG
rnacentral:rRNA from 1 species